rnacentral:rRNA from 1 species
UACGAAGGGGGCUAGCGUUGCUCGGAAUCACUGGGCGUAAAGGGUGCGUAGGCGGGUUUUUAAGUCAGGGGUGAAAUCCUGGAGCUCAACUCCAGAACUGCCUUUGAUACUGGUGAUCUUGAGUCCAGGAGAGGUGAGUGGAACUGCGAGUGUAGAGGUGAAAUUCGUAGAUAUUCGCAAGAACACCAGUGGCGAAGGCGGCUCACUGGCCCGGUACUGACGCUGAGGUGCGAAAGCGUGGGGAGCAAACAGG